rnacentral:rRNA from 1 species
AUGCAAGUCGAACGGUAACAUUUCUAGCUUGCUAGAAGAUGACGAGUGGCGGACGGGUGAGUAAUGCUUGGGAACUUGCCUUUGCGAGGGGGAUAACAGUUGGAAACGACUGCUAAUACCGCAUAAUGUCUUCGGACCAAACGGGGCUUAGGCUCCGGCGCAAAGAGAGGCCCAAGUGAGAUUAGCUAGUUGGUAAGGUAACGGCUUACCAAGGCGACGAUCUCUAGCUGUUCUGAGAGGAAGAUCAGCCACACUGGGACUGAGACACGGCCCAGACUCCUACGGGAGGCAGCAGUGGGGAAUAUUGCACAAUGGGGGAAACCCUGAUGCAGCCAUGCCGCGUGUGUGAAGAAGGCCUUCGGGUUGUAAAGCACUUUCAGUUGUGAGGAAAAGUUAGUAGUUAAUACCUGCUAGCCGUGACGUUAAUAACAGAAGAAGCACCGGCUAACUCCGUGCCAGCAGCCGCGGUAAUACGGAGGGUGCGAGCGUUAAUCGGAAUUACUGGGCGUAAAGCGCACGCAGGCGGUUUGUUAAGCUAGAUGUGAAAGCCCCGGGCUCAACCUGGGAUGGUCAUUUAGAACUGGCAGACUA